GCAUGCAGUCGAACGAACCUUUAUGAUGGGUAACCUGAAUUUUGGUUAGUGGCGAACGGGUGAGGAAUUCAUGGAUAACGUACCCCGGACUCAGGGAUAGCGGCGGAACUUCGGUUCCUUUGCGAAAGUGCCGGUAAUACCUGAUGACCCCUGCGAAACGCAUGUUUUGCAGGGCAAAGCUCCGACGGUCCGGGAGCGGUCCAUGUCCUAUCAGCUAGUUGGUGAGGUAACGGCUCACCAAGGCAACGACGGGUAUCGGGCGUGAGAGCGUGAUCCGACACAUCGGAACUGAGAUACGGUCCGGACACCUACGGGUGGCUGCAGCAACGAAUAUUCCGCAAUGGACGCAAGUCUGACGGAGCGACGCCGCGUGCAGGAAGAGGUCCUUCGGGAUGUAAACUGCUGUCAGGGGUGAGGAAACAAAUGACCAACCCCAAAGGAAGCACCGGCUAACUCCGUGCCAGCAGCCGCGGUAAUACGGAGGGUGCAAGCGUUGUUCGGAAUUACUGGGCUUAAAGAGCGUGUAGGCGGAACGUCAGGUGUCGAGUGAAAUCCCCGGUCUCAAGCCGGGAACUGCUUGGCAAACCGGCGUUCUUGAGGCGGGUAGAGGUGACUGGAACGACUGGUGGAGCGGUGAAAUGCGUAGAUAUCAGUUG
rnacentral:rRNA from 1 species